rnacentral:rRNA from 1 species
ACGAACGCUGGCGGCGUGCUUAACACAUGCAAGUCGAACGGGAUUUAGUAAACAGAAGCCUCGGUGGAAGAUUACUAAUGAGAGUGGCGAACGGGUGAGUAACGCGUGAGCAACCUGCCUAUGACAGUGGGAUAGCCUCGGGAAACCGGGAUUAAUACCGCAUAAAAUCGUAGAAACACAUGUUUCAACGGUCAAAGAUUUAUCGGUCAUAGAUGGGCUCGCGUCUGAUUAGCUAGUUGGUGAGAUAACAGCCCACCAAGGCGACGAUCAGUAGCCG